rnacentral:rRNA from 1 species
AGCGGCGGACGGGUGAGUAAUGCUUGGGAAUAUGCCUUAUGGUGGGGGACAACAGUUGGAAACGACUGCUAAUACCGCAUGAUGUCUACGGACCAAAGUGGGGGACCUUCGGGCCUCACGCCAUAAGAUUAGCCCAAGUGGGAUUAGCUAGUUGGUGAGGUAAUGGCUCACCAAGGCGACGAUCCCUAGCUGGUUUGAGAGGAUGAUCAGCCACACUGGGACUGAGACACGGCCCACACUCCUACGGGAGGCAGCAGUGGGGAAUAUUGCACAAUGGGCGCAAGCCUGAUGCAGCCAUGCCGCGUGUGUGAAGAAAGCCUUCGGGUUGUAAAGCACUUUCAGUAAAGAGGAAAGGUUAAUCGCUAAUAUCAGAUAGCUGUGACGUUACUUACAGAAGAAGCACCGGCUAACUCCGUGCCAGCAGCCGCGGUAAUACUGAGGGUGCGAGCGUUAAUCGGAAUUACUGGGCGUAAAGCGUACGCACGCGGUUUGUUAAUCGAGAUGUGAAAGCCCCGGGCUCAACCUGGGAACUGCAUUUCGAACUGGCAAACUAGAGUGUGAUAGAGGGUGGUAGAAUUUCAGGUGUAGCGGUGAAAUGCGUAGAGAUCUGAAGGAAUACCGAUGGCGAAGGCAGCCACCUGGGUCAACACUGACG